rnacentral:misc_RNA from 1 species
AACGCACAUUGCGCCCUCUGGUAUUCCGGAGGGCAUGCCUGUUCGAGCGUCAUUUGCUAAACUCAAGCCUACUUGUAGGCCUGGUCUUGGGUGCUGUCCUCCCCCUCGGGGUGGACACGCCUCAAAUGCAAUGGCGACAUUGCCUGGCUUCAAGCGUCUAGGAAACUUCACCGCUUUGGAUGUCUAGGGACUGUCUGCCCCUCAACCCCAAUAUUUCUCUGGGUUGACCUCGGAUCAGGUAGGGAUACCCGCUGAACUUAA